CGCGGCCUGGGGAGGGGCCGGGCCGCGCAGGGGUGGCGCGUGGGGGUCCCGCCGGCCCGCGCCGCGUCACUGCUGUCCCUGCGGGCGCGCCCCGCUCUCCCGGCCGGGGUCCGAGCGGGCCCGGGCGGCGCGGCGCGCCAGGGAGCCGCCUUCCCGAGGGCGGGGCGGCUGCGCCGUGCGGACCCCGGCCCCGGCCAGGGCGCGGGCUUCAGCCCGAUUCUGCGGGGUCGCGCCCUGCCUCCGACCGGUCGGGCUGAGACUCCUCGCUCAGCCCAGGGGCAGCCAGCCCCCUGAAGCCCCCUCGGAGCGCCCGGGGCCUCGUGCUUUCCGUGGAUCACCUUGGUGAUUCCUAGGAGGAAGCACUUCCGUUUUCCCCAGUUCUUACGGGGGAAAGUGAGGCACAGAGAGGGGCUUUCCCCUACCCAAGGUUGCACAGCCAGGAAGUGGCCGAGGUGGGAUUCGAACCCAGCUGGGAGUGAAUUGUGAGGCUCCUCCUUCAGCGUCGGCUUGGGGCAGGCCUCCCCAGACCGGGGCAGCUUCCUUCCUUCCUUCUCUGCAGCUCUAUCCUCCUCUUCCUGUUUACCCGCAGAGAGAUUGCUGAAACCCAAGGAGGGCGGGGAGGGUGAAAUCCUUCUGUCCCUGGCAGACCCCAAGGGCACUGGGUGCUGGGUUAGGGAUGGAAGGGCCUCAGCCUCGUUUUGCAGAGGGGGAAACUGAGGCCCAGAGAGUGUCCAGGACCUGUCCAAGAACAUAGACCUGGGAUCUGUCUCAGCCGCUGCAGGCACCCACACUGGGUGCUCCUUCCAGGCCACCUUCUGUCUCUGGGCUCACUUUCCUCCUCUGUUGGGGAGGGGUCCGCAGUGUGUGUCUGUCCUGGGAUUAUUGGGGCGGGUCCCUGGCAGGAGAUGGAAAACAUGCCCACCUGCCCAUCUCAGAGGCUGUCCUGGGAAAGUUCUCCGUCCAGUCCGUGCAAGACCUCCCGGGACCCUGGACAUGGUGGCAUUCUGGGGAUGCAGCCUUUGCGCCGGGAGGCCACUUCCCGGCUGUGUGACCUUGGCAGGUUGCCUAACCUUUCUGAGUCUCAAUAAAAGGGGGGUGGUCGGGGCGUUGUGAGGAUUCAGAGAGAGUCCAGGUGCCUGGCCAGGUGGCAGAGCUGGUGCACGUCAGUGCUGAUGGCCAUUCUGGGCGGAAAACCCUGAUCACUGCAGGUCCAGCCCCGGGAGAGUGCAUGGAGGACAGUGGUUGGGGGGGGGGCGCUGACAGCUGAUCGCCACCUGAGGCAAAGAGUCCCUAGACGCCAAGCUGGGGGACGGUGUUCCUGGUAGGGCCGACAGCCUGGGAGGCUUUGGAGAGCUUGGCCUUGGCGGAGCCACGUUCAGGCGUUCCCGGGCGCUUCCAGGGGAAGCAGGCAGUCGCCACCCUCAGAGCCUCCGUGGGAGAACUUUCCGGCCCCUCACGUGAGCAUGGAGGUCGCCCACGGGAGGAAUCUGCGGCCCAGACGGUGGAGGGUGCUGUUUCUGGGUGACACAGCAAGGUGAAGGCGGAGACAGGACAGAGUCCAGCCUCCUGUCUCUGUCCAGGGUCCCCCACGUCCCCGGUGGGCACAGGCCCUGAGGACAGCGGCAGCUGCGUCCCUGGGGUCGGCAGGCACGGG